rnacentral:misc_RNA from 1 species
AACAAUUGCAUAAAAUUGUUUCAAAAACUAAAACUAAACUGAAACCGAAAUAACAAAGAACCAAAUCAAAAUUAUACCAAAAUUUCAGUUCAGUUUCCGUUCCUAGGCAAACCCCGAACUGGAACUGAACUGAAACCACACACCUCUAAUCACAACCAUUAUCACAUCUAUCGCCACCAGCAAUUACGUCCUUUUGGCAUCUAUUAAUAGCCAAUGGUCCCUUGCUUUAAUCCUCUUGAGCAGUAAACAAGCAUCCCUCUUUACUUCCUUUUAAGUGUGCAUCAGUCACAUGGAUAAUUUUGUUUUAUGCUUUCUCCAGAAAGGUAAAUCAUUUGUUAUCUUAAAUAUUGUUCAUGUCUUAUCUGCUACUGAUAUUAGUAUUAAUCUCAGCAAAUUGCAGGUACAAAACGUUCACUCAAAAAGAUAUGAAAUGCUCACUAUCCAACCAUGGAAUUUGUACCAAUGCUCAUAAAAAAGGAAUUAAAUUCAUCAACUUGCAGAACAUAAGUGUCUCAGGAAUAAUAUAAGCCAG